GCAACCAUAGUGUAAUGGCAACACUACGGCUUUCCAAGCCGUCUAUCGGGGUUCAAAUCCCUGUGGUUGCA
rnacentral:tRNA from 5 species